rnacentral:rRNA from 1 species
UGGGGAAUAUUGGACAAUGGGGGCAACCCUGAUCCAGCCAUGCCGCGUGUGUGAAGAAGGCCUUUUGGUUGUAAAGCACUUUAAGCAGGGAGGAGAGGCUAAUGGUUAAUACCCAUUAGAUUAGACGUUACCUGCAGAAUAAGCACCGGCUAACUCUGUGCCAGCAGCCGCGGUAAUACAGAGGGUGCGAGCGUUAAUCGGAAUUACUGGGCGUAAAGCGAGUGUAGGUGGCUCAUUAAGUCACAUGUGAAAUCCCCGGGCUUAACCUGGGAACUGCAUGUGAUACUGGUGGUGCUAGAAUAUGUGAGAGGGAAGUAGAAUUCCCAGGUGUAGCGGUGAAAUGCGUAGAGAUCUGGAGGAAUACCGAUGGCGAAGGCAGCUUCCUGGCAUAAUAUUGACACUGAGAUUCGAAAGCGUGGGUAGCAAACAGGAUUAGAUACCCUGGUAGUCCACGCCGUAAAACGAUGCCUACUAGCCGUUGGGGUCCUUGAGACUUUAGUGGCGCAGUUAACGCGAUAAGUAGACCGCCUGGGGGAGUACGGCCGCAAGGUUAAAACUCAAAGGAAUUGACGGGGUCAUAGCUGUUUCCU